GGCUCAACUGGCGGUCAACACGUAGAAGAAUGCAAAUUGAUCCACUUACUCCAUUCUUGUUCUCUGUAGUGCUGCAGAGGAUGGAUUUUCCCAAGGACCAUGUUCCCCUAAUAGAGGAGGCUGGUUUUCAGUCAAGGGGAUAUGAAUAGCUGCACUCCUUCAAACAAACUCUCGAAAGCUGAUGCCCUGAACCUGACAGAAGAGACAGUAGGGACUAUUCUUGAACUUAGAGGUACAGGAAAGGACUUUCUGAACAGACAGACCC
rnacentral:sRNA from 1 species